UUUUGUGACAAGUGACAUAAAUAUUUCAUAGCACUAUGGAGCUACAUCUUUUUUUUAAGACCAGACAUCUCCUACCUAGCUGCUGAGAACAGUUUCCUAAGAGAGCUAUGCUUGCACAGACCUCUUGCUGGUAGCUGGGACUCCCAGGCUGCCCUCGAACCAGGGGACAAAGUGGGGACAUCCCAUGGAGGGGUGCCAGGGAGGGGGAUGCCAGGCACAGCACAAGUGACAACAGCCAGCAUGUGGAAAGCUUGUGGCUUUAUAUCAAGCUGUUUGAGGUCACAGCUUCUGUGCUGCAGCUCUGCACAAAAUGGGGAGGGUGCUUCAGGCAGGAGAGAUGCUGCUGUCUUCCACUGAGGUCUGUGUUUGGCCAAAAUGGAAAAACCAGGUACCUGCAGGCUGCUGGGAUAUGGCUACACUGCCCAGAAACACCAUACAAAGUACUGUCAGUGUGAGGUAAAGAGAGUCUUUAAAUAAUCUGUCUGAAAGGUAGCCCUAGAUGAGCAAUUCUUACAGUAGCUCUGCACUGUAAUACCAUUGCAGAUUGUUCUUUUUUUCAUGCUGCUUAUAAAAGCAACAGCAAAAUUUUUCUUGGUGUGUUGUGUUUGUCUUUUUUAACUACAAGAAAAAAAAAUAUAUGGACUACUGCUCUGCAGGCACUGUGGAGACAAGUGGAUGACUUUGGCCACAAAGUGAAAUCUCUCCUGUUUUCUUUCUGGUCCCUUUUCCCGAGGCACUUGCCCGGUUCAGCCAGCGAGGCUCAGCGUGAUGGGCUCCAGUACCAUGUGUCAGAUGUGCCAGGAGGUGAGGCUGUGAGGGCUCAGCAUGGGAAAACUUCUUUCCUGAGUAACUCUUCUGGACUGAUGAACUGAAACAGGAGUCCUGUCACAGAAACUGCCAUGGCGUGAAGAUUACAUCUUCUGGAAACCAGCUGGCCUCCAGAGCCGGGUGUAAAGCCACCAGCCCCCGUGUUACCUGUGUGGUGGACGUGUGGUCAAGGACAGCCCUGCAGUUCCCGCCUCUCCCUGUGAUUCCUGGACUGCAGAUCUCCAGUACAUCCUUAGAUGGUUUCUCUGCUCUCCAGCUGUUGCUUCUGCACAGACUGGCCUCCUGACAGCCCUUUGUAGUCUCAGAAACCUUGGCGUGUCUGAAGUGGGCUGUUAAAACCAGCAGACGGUGUCAAGACCAGAACAAGGCUGCAAAUGCUAAGCAUGGCGCACUCAGAGAGCAUAUGGAAAUUGCCUGCAUUGUGUCCUGAAGCCAUGUGGAUGUUGGUUUUUCUGAUGUAACUAAGGAUUCAAUAGCGUGUAGCUCCCUGCCAUGUGGACUGAUAGGACAUCUUCAGUUUGUCACUGUAAACAAGUUUCUUUGAUUGCUUUGUGACUAGUGUAAUUAGAAACACAUUCUAAACACAAUGAUGGGAAGAAAGGGAGGCCUACACUUCCCUUCAAAGCUCCCCAUGUGAUAUAUAUGGAUCAUGUACCCAACCGUUCUGUGGUUCUUUUGCAUACAGCUACCCACUGAGUACUAGUCUCCCUGUUUUCUCGACAGAAAAGGAGCUCUUCUUUCAAAACAUAAGGUUUCCAGGUUAGUAAUAAAAGUCUUGUUGUGUUUCUUAAAGGCAGAUCUUCUGCAAGUUCAGUUCAUAAACAACAGUGUCAUGGAAUGUUUUCAGAGCAACUCAAGGUCUGCUCUGCUUCCACGGAGAUUGUGAAAUUCUAGCUGUUGACUUAUAUCUUACUGUUGACAAUAUCCUGCCUCACUUCCAGUUGUUAUUCCAGCAGAAGAGAGGUCUCUUGUGGUCCUGUGUCACAUCUACAGGCCCUUCUGGCUGUUGUCCCAUGUCCUUUGUGAAGUGGUGCAGGGCACUGAUUUAUCAGAGGCACAGUAAAAUGCUGCAUCUUACCUUUAAAUUCCUAAAGACAGAAAACAGAUUCAUAAGCUUUGGUCUGCCCCUGUCAACACACAAACCUGCGUGUCCUGUUGGGAGAGCUCAGUUCUCUCCCUCAGCUGCGUUCAGGGUUUUCAAAGUCCUGCAGCAGCAUUUUUCAAGCCUCUACACACUUGAAUCAGAACAGGAAGAAACCAUCUAUAGAACUGAAAUGAAUGGACUAGGGAAAAAUAUCUUGACAGAGCAAAGUGGAGAUCCAGCAAAUGCGUGCACCUGAUCCAUUCUGUCUUUUCCAUGCACUACUGACACUGUGUUGGAGUAGUUGUAAAAAAAUGUUUGCACCACAUUGAGCAAGGACACAGCUGUGGCAUUCAGACCAUGUGAGAUGAGGCAUCCCAGAGGUCCAUGAAACAAGCUGAAAACAAUAAUCCAGCCAUGGACUUGCUCCUGAGAACACAAGGAACUUGUCUGUGGGUGUGGUGACUUGUAGCUCUUUUCCGAAUGAAAUGAUGCAGCUCUGGGAAAGGAAAAAGUAAGGGUCUCACACAGAUGUGAGCUUGGUGAUUUGGGGAUUUUGCUGUACUUUAUGGCUCCACUAAUUGAGUUGCGUGGAAAGACGAUCUCCCCUCUGCUGCUGCUCCUCCAAGCCCAAAAGGAGGAGGUGAGGGCACAGCCCGCCUCCUGUGUGAAGGCAAGUGAAAAGGGGAGAAGAGCAUUCUCUCCUGCUUGUGUUUCCCAGGGCCCUGGCACCAGCAGUGUGAAACUCACCUUGUCCUCCCUUCUCCUCAAACCCAUCAAACCAGCCAAUGUUUCUGAGACACAUUCUGCUCACUGAGAUUUAGGAACUCCGCAUGGGAACAGAAACCACAAAAAGAGUGCAAUGGGGCUGAAUUUAACAGAUCUUCAGCUCCUUCCCCCCAAGUUUCUCAAGUUGGAACUUCACCCCAGAUGAUUACAUGCUUAGGCAGGCAUGGCAGAGAUCAGCUCUUCCUUCCUGUUCAUGCAGUCCUAGGCAAACUGGUUGUACUUAGUUCAGAAGAAUAAACAGCGACUAGCAUCAUGGUCAGCUUGUUUCUACCAUCAUCACUGAUCUUGAACUGUCAACUGCUUUUGCUGCAUCUGAUUUGUUAGCAGAGACGCUCAAGCCAAAGGUCCUUUGGGAGAUAUAAAGACAAUAGAAGAAAACAUUUGCCUCAUGUCUGAUGUUACCGCAAAGGGCUGGCCAGUGCACAUAAAAAUAUUUGACUUAUUGUAUAAGAUUUCAUGGGAAAAUUGCAGGAAUAAAACCUGCAAUUCUAAGGAUCUAUCAGCCCCAUGAUGCAUGUUCCAAUUUUGGCUAGAACAUGCCUUUCUCAGCAAACUCCCACCCAUAAAGCUGAAAGGCUCUUGGGCUCGGGUAUGGCAGGGUACCAGUCACAGCAGCUCCCCGAGUCAGUCCCUGUUUUCUAUUCCUCGUCCUAUCGUGUCAUCCAGAUUUCUGAAACGGGACAGCUGUUCCCAUCCAGCUGGUCCUGAUGAGGAGCACAAUUUAAACCCUAGACACUGACUAUCCAUCUCAGCCCUUUCAGGAAUUCAUCCUUCGGUGCAUUUUGGCUCUCACCUCUUGCACCAGAAACACCCUCAUUUACACACAAGCCGUGACUGUUCUGUGCAGCUGCUGCCGGUUAACAUGUCAGAUCCUUUUGUACCAGAAGAGAUCCUGUCUAUGUAUGAAAUGAAACCUAAUUAUAAAAGAAGAGAAAAACGUGGAUUCCCUGGGGUGAGGAGGAGGCUGUGGGACUAUCUUAAACCCUGGGAGGUUAAUUUACGAUUCUGCAAACAAGGUCUGAGUGGGAAAUGUUGCCUGCUGGAGCCAGCUCCUCCCAGUGCAACUAGCACUCUGACACUCUGUGUAUGUGAAGGUUGCGUCUCUGGGACAUAUUGUGAUGUACCAGUGUCAGGGCAGGAAACCUACAAAACAUUGUGUGGCCAGUAGGCAUAAAUUGGAAAAGUCAGACUGUCUUCAGUGGAUUUACUGUAGAGUUUGUAACAUUACAUUGGUAUUAUAUAUAUAUAUUUGGAUUUACUGAUUAGUCAUCCAAGCAAAAGUGUUUGCAAUGGAAGCAACUGCAGGUCAUCAGGAGGACAAUGUAUGUGAGCACCCACAGAGCUCACGUCACCGCAGCACGAAGCAUAGGGUUACGCAAUUUGGAAGUGUGGGCACCUGUCUCUCACCCCAUGUUGCACUAACUUGAAUUUGUUUUGCAGAGGAACACAUACAGUAAGGUUCUGCAUGGCUGUUUUUGAAGAGAAAAGACAGAAGCAUUUGUUGAUAGCGCAAGAACAGAGGCACAAACAUGCUAGAAAGGGUGUGCAAGGAGAGCUGAAAGAUGAGUUCAACAACACAUAUUGACGUGUAAAGAAGAAAUUCUGCAGUAAGCUCAGAGUGACUGGUGUUUUCUUUGCUCCAUGGGAAAAUAGGAAGACAGAGAGAAGAUGCAGCAUCAGAAGAACAGCGUAAGGAGAGGGUGAUGUUUUCUAACCAGGAAAUUCAGAAGCUGUGAAAGAGUUGUGGCUCUGAAGCAGAACAGGCUGGCUUGCAAGGCCUCCAAAGGUCACCGGGCUUUUAACAUAGAGACUGCUGUGCCAGCUGUUUGAAGACAAGUGUAAUAGUGAAGUGACUUCAGAAAAAGUGCUGGAGUCUUCCUCUUCAAGCUUUGCCUGUUCCAUGAUGCCAAACUGGUGUGUUUCUGGAGAAAGGAAAGCUGGUUCCCUGCCCAUAUCACUCUUCUAUGUUGCCAUCUGCACUUCUUCCCAAGUAACUACCUCGUCUACCUCUUAAUAUUCCCCUUCAUCUUAAAUUUCCUUGAGAGAAGAAUUUGUCAGCCCACUCAAAGUCAGGACUGAAAUAUUUCGCAGUAUAGAUUUUCCUCACUGUUUUCUGAGGAACCACUUGCACUCGCUAUUUUUGGCAACUUCUCUUCCUUAUGUUCACCUUCUGCUGGUGUCCCUCCUGCACCUGGCUCCCUUGGACUGCGCUUGGACACCCACUGGACAAUGGCAAGCAGAAUAUCUGACAUACACAGGAUGGCCAUUUGAGUGAAACAGGGAAAGAACUGGAAAACAUCUUGGAAUAAAUAGUCAGCUUUCAGCCUGGCCAAAACUGUAACUCUAUUGGACAACUGAGAUUUUCUUAACAUUUUUAAUGAUGGGAGUAUGGGGAUAACACUAAGGUAGAAAAAUCAAACAUCUUUUGGCUAGUCAAGUAUAGGGAAUUUAAAAAAAAUAAAUUAAAAUGCAGUUAUAAAAUCAAACAGGAUUGAUUUAUCCUGUGAGGCAUAUGGCUGCAUAUCUAUUGCUUGUUAGUGUAAUCACUAAUUCAGUCCUCUGAGCCACAGAUCAAAACAGCAAUAUCAUUUUAAUUGUAAAGAGUCAAUGUCAAAACUGUGCACUGUCUCUGUUUUUCUGGCAUCUCUUUUAUCACAUGGAGUAACCUGGAUCUGGCUGACUUGUACUUCUGCUGAAACAACCCUGUGGACUGUAGCAGGAUAACAGGACAGCUGGGAUGUUUAUUUCCCAAACCAAGCUUUCUCAGGUUUUUAACUCCCCAUCUUUCUCUUCUGUGCCACCACAGCAUGUCCCAGGUGGGAAGAGCCAGAAAGAGCUGCCCAAAUGCACUGAGACUUGAGCCUGGAGAAGACCAAACCUGGGACAGUGGGAGAGGUCUCUGCUAGAAAAGCUUGAAAGGAAGGAACAUAGAGAGUUUACAAUUAAAGACAAUUUGAGUUAC